AUCCGACUGACGAGUUCCAAAUAGGACGAAACGUGCGCCCUGGAU
rnacentral:hammerhead_ribozyme from 1 species